rnacentral:rRNA from 1 species
UGGGGAAUAUUGCACAAUGGGGGGAAACCCCGUGAUGCAGCGACGCCGCGUGAGCGAUGAAGUAUUUCGGUAUGUAAAGCUCUAUCAGCAGGGAAGAAAAUGA